rnacentral:rRNA from 1 species
GACGAACGCCGGCGGCGUGCUUAACACAUGCAAGUCGAACGGAAAGGCCCUGCUUUUGUGGGGUGCUCGAGUGGCGAACGGGUGAGUAACACGUGAGUAACCUGCCCUUGACUUUGGGAUAACUUCAGGAAACUGGGGCUAAUACCGGAUAGGAGCUCCUGCUGCAUGGUGGGGGUUGGAAAGUUUCGGCGGUUGGGGAUGGACUCGCGGCUUAUCAGCUUGUUGGUGGGGUAGUGGCUUACCAAGGCUUUGACGGGUAGCCGGCCUGCGAGGGUGACCGGCCACAUUGGGACUGAGAUACGGCCCAGACUCCUACGGGAGGCAGCAGUGGGGAAUAUUGCACAAUGGGCGGAAGCCUGAUGCAGCAACGCCGCGUGCGGGAUGACGGCCUUCGGGUUGUAAACCGCUUUCGCCUGUGACGAAGCGUGAGUGACGGUAAUGGGUAAAGAAGCACCGGCUAACUACGUG